rnacentral:rRNA from 1 species
GACGAACGCUGGCGGCGUGCCUAAUACAUGCAAGUCGAGCGAAUCUUUGGGAGCUUGCUCCCAAAUGAUUAGCGGCGGACGGGUGAGUAACACGUGGGUAACCUACCUGUAAGACUGGGAUAACUUCGGGAAACCGGAGCUAAUACCGGAUACUUUCUUUUCUCGCAUGAGAGAAGAUGGAAAGACGGUUCUGCUAUCACUUACAGAUGGACCCGCGGCGCAUUAGCUAGUUGGUGAGGUAACGGCUCACCAAGGCAACGAUGCGUAGCCGACCUGAGAGGGUGAUCGGCCACACUGGGACUGAGACACGGCCCAGACUCCUACGGGAGGCAGCAGUAGGGAAUCUUCCGCAAUGGACGAAAGUCUGACGGAGCAACGCCGCGUGAGCGAAGAAGGCCUUCGGGUCGUAAAGCUCUGUUGUUAGGGAAGAACAAGUACGAGAGUAACUGCUCGUACCUUGACGGUAC